rnacentral:rRNA from 1 species
AUCAGUUAGUUGGUGAGGUAAUGGCUCACCAAGGCGAUGACAGGUAGCGGGUUUGAGAGGAUGAUCCGCCACACUGGUACUGAGACACGGACCAGACUCCUACGGGAGGCAGCAGUGAGGAAUAUUGCACAAUGGGGGAAACCCUGAUGCAGCAACGCCGCGUGGAGGAUGACGCAUUUCGGUGUGUAAACUCCUUUUAUAUGUCAAGAAAAUGACGGUAGCAUAUGAAUAAGCACCGGCUAACUCCGUGCCAGCAGCCGCGGUAAUACGGAGGGUGCAAGCGUUAUUCGGAAUCACUGGGCGUAAAGGACGCGUAGGCGGGUUUGUAAGUCAGGUGUGAAAUCCUACAGCUUAACUGUAGAACUGCACUUGAAACUACUAACCUAGAGUAUGGGAGGGGGAGAUGGAAUUAGUGGUGUAGGGGUAAAAUCCGUAGAUAUCACUAGGAAUACCUAAAGCGAAGGCGAUCUCCUGGAACAUUACUGACGCUAAAUGCGUGAAAAGCGUGGGGGAGCAAACAGGAUUAGAUACCCUGGUAGUCCACGCCCUAAACGAUGAACACUAGUCGUCGCUCUGCUAGUCAGGGCGGUGAUGCACUUAACAGAUUAAGGUGUUCCGCCUGGGGAGUACGGUCGCAAGAUUAAAACUCAAAGGAAUAGACGGGGACCCGCACAAGUUGGUGGAGCAUGUGGUUUAAUUCGAAGAUACGCGAAGAAACUUUACCUAGCCCUU